GGGCGACAGAGUGAGAUUCUGUCAAGAAAGAAAGAAAGAAAGAAAGAAGGAAAGAAGGAAGUAAGGAAGGAAAGAAAAGAAAAAGAAAAGAAAGAAAAGAAAGAAAGAACGAACAGGCAAGGGUUCUUGUGAUAAUAUUUCUCCCAACAGUUAAGUGACUAUUUUGAAUAAGACAAUGUACUAGGUACUUUGGGACAAAGAUGAUUAGGAUGCUCACACUGUAUCCUCAACUUUAAAUAUAUCCCUCCACCUUCCAAAAGCUGGAUGCAUUUAGGACUCAGCUUAAAUGCCACUGCCACCAGUAAGACCUUUCUAGUUACCCUAGCCUGAAGCAUUCUUUCCUAGGGAAUCCUAUAGGAUUUCAUUUUAACUGUUCAUGGUACACUUGUGUACACAUCUUUUCUUGCUUUCUAGAGUAGAUCCUCCUUAAAGCCAGGGUCAUUGCUUAUACAUGUCUUUAUCUCCAGAUCACCUUAUAUAUUUGAGUAUGGGGGUUUAAGAACAGAUACCAUAACACAAGACUAGAAAGCCAUGAUGGAUUUAAAUUUCAGUUCCACCACUCAUUUCAGAUGUGCAAUAGUGGGCAAAUUUACUUAACCUCUUUCAAGUUUGACUUAUGUAAAACAGGAAUAUUAUUAUUAUCUACCUCUUAGUGCUGUAAGAAUUAAAUUCAGAGUUAGCCAGUUAGAGCAGUGCCUGACCUACAGUAACCACUUCACAAACAUAUAACUCUAUCUCCCAGCUGCUGUGAGAAUUAGGCAGCCAUGUUUAGCAAAGUGCAUGGCAGACACUAAAUAUUCUAUGGUAAAUGUACAAAUGAAUGAAUUCACGUUUUGUAUUUUCCACAAAGGAUUUAAAAUAUAUAAAGAAUGAAGGCAAUAUUUCAUUAUAGAAAUACACUGGUAAAUGUAAAGACGGCAAAAGAAAAUGAAAUUAGGCAGAUCCAAGAGCCUUUUCCAAAAACGUCCAUUACUGCAACCACAGCAGACCCAAACUACAUCAGGUAGUUAGUAAUACGAAGUGCUCUAAUUAAGAGGCUUGAGGUCUUGUUCAGGGACUGUAACCUGGGUGCCCAAGAAAGUCCACGGAUAGUGCUAGCUUCGGCAGCACAUAGAGAGGAGAUUAGCGUGGCCCCUGCGCAAGUAUGACACGCAAAUCCGUGAAGCGUUCCAUAUUUUUUAUAAAACAAAUUAAAAAAAAAAAGAAGGUCCAUGGAUUGUGGGGGGGGGUGUCUGUGAAUGAAUGCACUGAAUUUUAUGCAAAAAUGUUUGUUUCUCUGUGCAUUUUCCCUGGGAGUAUUCCUAACUUUUUCCUAGUUCCAACUUUGCCACAAUUAACCUUGUAGAAACAUAAUUUAAAAAAAUUUUUUAACUUAAGAUGAGGGACUUAAUCCCUAGCGUCUUCAAGCUCCAAAAUGUUUGAUUCUGUGCUUCAUAACAAGUUUUUUUUUUUUUUUUUUUGAGACGGAGUCUUGCUCUGUCCCAGGCUGGAGUGCAGUGGUGCGACCUCGGCUCACUGCAGCCUCUGCCUCCCGGGUUCAAGCGAUUCUCCUGCCUCAGCCUCCUGAGUAGCUGGGACUACAGGGGCCCGCCACCACGCCCGGCUAAUUUCUUUUUUUUUUUUUUGCAUUUUCAAUAGAGACGGAAGAUAUUCUUAUACUAUCGUUUUCUUUCCUUAUUAUUAUAACACUCUUGUGCAAACUAGUCUAGGGCGUUUUUUAGGGUUACGGUGAUAAUAACAAAGUGCUCUAACAAUUACUAUUCUUACCAGCCACUGGAUUUGCAAAUGCAUAAAAGCACACCAGCCAGUGUUAUAAACAGCACCCCCUUCCUCCCAACCCUUCUUCUCCCCUUAGAAACCUAACAGCUGAGAUAUCAAAGCAUUUGAAAUUCCAUUUUUGACUCCAUAUACAUUUGUUUUUGGCUUCUUUGCUUGUUUAUAGUUUGUAGCCAGCACACACUAUCCCCAGAAUAAGCCCAACAGGAGUGUAGAUUAACUACCACCGUUUUAAAGGCAAACUUUAGUUUUACCAAAGCCUCCUACGGAGUUCAACACAUUCGGCUUCUGUGUUUCCCUACACCACCGAUCCCGCUGCAGACUGCAGGAGCUCUGGCAAGCGCCACAAGCGCCAGGGGAGACAAAACCCCUCACUAGCAGGCUUUGCCUCCCCAAAUCACCCCGGUCCCCUAGGCCCCACCGCCUUCUCCCUUCCUGGAAUCAAACGACCAAGACCCCGCAAGGCCUGAGGCGGCGGCCGCAGCGGGAGCCCAGACCACUGCUUACCGCGGCCCUCAGUCCAGAAGCUCCAGGAAUCGGCCGUAACCUAUGGGACCCCGCUCCCUUCUAC
rnacentral:lncRNA from 1 species